UGCGCAGGCGGGGAUGUAAGUCAGUGGUGAAAUACUGCCGCUCAACGGUAGAACUGCCAUUGAUACUGCAUCUCUUGAGUAUGGUUGAGGUAGGCGGAAUGUGUUGUGUAGCGGUGAAAUGCAUAGAUAUGACACAGAACGCCAAUUGCGAAGGCAGCUUACUAAACCAUUACUGACGCUGAGGCACGAAAGCGUGGGGAGCGAACAGGAUUAGAUACCCUGGUAGUC
rnacentral:rRNA from 1 species